AGAGUUUGAUCCUGGCUCAGGAUGAACGCUGGCGGCGUGCCUAAUACAUGCAAGUCGAGCGAACGGACGAGAAGCUUGCUUCUCUGAUGUUAGCGGCGGACGGGUGAGUAACACGUGGAUAACCUACCUAUAAGACUGGGAUAACUUCGGGAAACCGKAGCUAAUACCGGAUAAUAUUUUGAACCGCAUGGUUCAAAAGUGAAAGACGGUCUUGCUGUCACUUAUAGAUGGAUCCGCGCUGCAUUAGCUAGUUGGUAAGGUAACGGCUUACCAAGGCAACGAUGCAUAGCCGACCUGAGAGGGUGAUCGGCCACACUGGAACUGAGACACGGUCCAGACUCCUACGGGAGGCAGCAGUAGGGAAUCUUCCGCAAUGGGCGAAAGCUGACGGAGCAACGCCGCGUGAGUGAUGAAGGUCUUCGGAUCGUAAAACUCUGUUAUUAGGGAAGAACAUAUGUGUAAGUAACUGUGCACAUCUUGACGGUACCUAAUCAGAAAGCCACGGCUAACUACGUGCCAGCAGCCGCGGUAAUACGUAGGUGGCAAGCGUUAUCCGGAAUUAUUGGGCGUAAAGCGCGCGUAGGCGGUUUUUUAAGUCUGAUGUGAAAGCCCACGGCUCAACCGUGGAGGGUCAUUGGAAACUGGAAAACUUGAGUGCAGAAGAGGAAAGUGGAAUUCCAUGUGUAGCGGUGAAAUGCGCAGAGAUAUGGAGGAACACCAGUGGCGAAGGCGACUUUCUGGUCUGUAACUGACGCUGAUGUGCGAAAGCGUGGGGAUCAAACAGGAUUAGAUACCCUGGUAGUCCACGCCGUAAACGAUGAGUGCUAAGUGUUAGGGGGUUUCCGCCCCUUAGUGCUGCAGCUAACGCAUUAAGCACUCCGCCUGGGGAGUACGACCGCAAGUUGAAACUCAAAGGAAUUGACGGGGACCCGCACAAGCGGUGGAGCAUGUGGUUUAAUUCGAAGCAACGCGAAGAACCUUACCAAAUCUUGACAUCCUUUGACAACUCUAGAGAUAGAGCCUUCCCCUUCGGGGGACAAAGUGACAGGUGGUGCAUGGUUGUCGUCAGCUCGUGUCGUGAGAUGUUGGGUUAAGUCCCGCAACGAGCGCAACCCUUAAGCUUAGUUGCCAUCAUUAAGUUGGGCACUCUAAGUUGACUGCCGGUGACAAACCGGAGGAAGGUGGGGAUGACGUCAAAUCAUCAUGCCCCUUAUGAUUUGGGCUACACACGUGCUACAAUGGACAAUACAAAGGGCAGCGAAACCGCGAGGUCAAGCAAAUCCCAUAAAGUUGUUCUCAGUUCGGAUUGUAGUCUGCAACUCGACUACAUGAAGCUGGAAUCGCUAGUAAUCGUAGAUCAGCAUGCUACGGUGAAUACGUUCCCGGGUCUUGUACACACCGCCCGUCACACCACGAGAGUUUGUAACACCCGAAGCCGGUGGAGUAACCUUUUAGGAGCUAGCCGUCGAAGGUGGGACAAAUGAUUGGGGUGAAGUCGUAACAAGGUAGCCGUAUCGGAAGGUGCGGCUG
rnacentral:rRNA from 1 species